rnacentral:tRNA from 1 species
GAGAAGGGUUUGAAACACAGAAACUGCUAAUUAUCUGACCCGUGGUUAAACUCCACGACCUGCUCA